AGCGAACGCUGGCGGCAGGCUUAACACAUGCAAGUCGAGCGGGCACUUUCGGGUGUCAGCGGCGGACGGGUGAGUAACGCGUGGGAACGUGCCCUCUGGUUCGGAAUAACUCAGGGAAACUUGAGCUAAUACCGGAUACGCCCUUUUGGGGAAAGGCUUGCUGCCGGAGGAUCGGCCCGCGUCUGAUUAGCUAGUUGAUGAGGUAACGGCUCACCAAGGCGACGAUCAGUAGCUGGUCUGAGAGGAUGAUCAGCCACACUGGGACUGAGACACGGCCCAGACUCCUACGGGAGGCAGCAGUGGGGAAUAUUGGACAAUGGGCGCAAGCCUGAUCCAGCCAUGCCGCGUGAGUGAUGAAGGCCUUAGGGUUGUAAAGCUCUUUUAUCCGGGACGAUAAUGACGGUACCGGAGGAAUAAGCCCCGGCUAACUUCGUG
rnacentral:rRNA from 1 species